UACAGAGGGCUCAAGCGUUGUUCGGAUUCAUUGGGCGUAAAGGGUGCGUAGGCGGCGCGGUAAGUCGGGUGUGAAAUCUUGGAGCUUAACUCCGAAACUGCAUUCGAUACUGCCGUGCUUGAGGACUGGAGAGGAGACUGGAAUUUACGGUGUAGCGGUGAAAUGCGUAGAUAUCGUAAGGAAGACCAGUGGCGAAGGCGGGUCUCUGGACAGUUCCUGACGCUGAGGAGCGAAAGCGUGGGGAGCGAACAGG
rnacentral:rRNA from 1 species